rnacentral:tRNA from 1 species
GCCUCCUUAGUAUAAUGGUAUUACGUAAGCAUGGUAAGCUUGUAACGCAAGUUCGAUUCUUGCAGGAGGCACCA